GUAAAGUUGAUACCAAGAGCGGUUUAAGAAAACAAGUGCUCAAAUGGAGUUUUGGAGCCAGAUUACCUGCUACUUUGCCAACAAUGAAGACACCAUCCCUGGUAGUAGGUGAAGCACAGAGAGCCCUGCUACAACUGUCCAGUUGUCAAAGGUUUUACUGGUGAUGAUAAUUUUCUGGGUUACAGAAAUUAUUAAUAACACCCUGGCAAGAACUCCAGGAGACGGUGAAU
rnacentral:lncRNA from 1 species